GGGGGAAGGUUUUCUUUCUGGAGGUCCUUCCUUUUGGAGUUUUCUACUGUGAGCCUAGGACACAGACAGUGGUCUGACAGGUGACCAUGCUCAUCAGGAGGGAGCACCAAUGACUUGCAAGCUGCUUGAUGGAGCCAGAACUGUGACUUAAUUGUCUUGCUGUAGACAAUAAGCUCAUCUUGAGUCCCCAGAAGCUGAAGUUACCAACAAAUAAAAUGCCUUCUUGAACUCAAAAUAUAGGAAAAAAAAAGUCCUCAAAAUGCUUCUGUGUCCUCUGGAGGUCAUGCUUUGUAGAACAACCCCUUCAUUCCAUUUCAGUACCUAUGAGGAGUAUUUGCUCUCAGCACCCAUCCAGACCCUGUACACCCAGCUGGGGUUUCAGAGCUGGUUACCAGUGAUCUACAUGCAGAGGCAGGCAUCUUUUGGGGCUGUGGCUGCAUGGCUUUGCAAGCCCUGCUGGUUAGACUUGCAGCCGGAAACACUCCUGUAUCCAGAUAAAGCAGACACACCUGAAACAUCCUGCUUCAUGAGAAGCCCAAACUAACACAAAGAGGUGUCAGAAGAGUGAUACAGAAUACCAAAACUAGAUGGUGGAAUGUGAGUGGCUCUAAAGCCAUCUAUGUGUGAAGCCAAGUCUAUUCUCUCAUGUGGAUUUAGUCCCCACAAAUAACU